rnacentral:rRNA from 1 species
GAUGAACGCUGGCGGCGUGCCUAACACAUGCAAGUCGAGCGGCAGCGAGGGGUGCUUGCACCCUGUCGGCGAGCGGCGGACGGCUGAGUAGCGCGUGGGAACGUGCCCCAAAGUGAGGAAUAACUGCCCGAAAGGGUAGCUAAUACCGCAUAUUAUCUUCGGAUCAAAGGAUUUAUCCGCUUUGGGAGCGGCUCGCGUCGGAUUAGGUAGUUGGUGAGGUAAUGGCUCACCAAGCCGACGAUCCGUAGCUGGUCUGAGAGGAUGACCAGCCAGACUGGAACUGAGACACGGUCCAGACUCCUACGGGAGGCAGCAGUGAGGAAUCUUCCACAAUGGGCGAAAGCCUGAUGGAGCAACGCCGCGUGCAGGACGAAGGCCUUCGGGUUGUAAACUGCUUUUAUAAGUGAGGAAUAUGACGGUAACUUAUGAAUAAGAAUCGGCUAACUACGUG